GCAAGUCGAGCGGUGACAGAGAGUAGCUUGCUACUUUGCUGACGAGCGGCGGACGGGUGAGUAAUGCUUGGGGAUAUGCCUUAUGGUGGGGGACAACGGUUGGAAACGACUGCUAAUACCGCAUAACGUCUACGGACCAAAGGAGGGGAUUCUUCGGAACCUUUCGCCAUUUGAUUAGCCCAAGUGAGAUUAGCUAGUAGGUGAGGUAAGAGCUCACCUAGGCGACGAUCUCUAGCUGGUUUGAGAGGAUGAUC
rnacentral:rRNA from 1 species